rnacentral:piRNA from 1 species
UAGAAAGAGAAACUGCUUCUGAGCAAUG